CUCUGUUCAAGAGGUGGAUUGCAUGCUUGAUCAAAGAGGACGACCUUCCCUGAUAGAAGAGGUCCCUUCUUUGGUCAAGGGUGUAUGAGUAGUUGCACUCCCCUGCUAGAAUCUCCAAACAAGCUCUCAAGAAGCAGAGCCUAAC
rnacentral:sRNA from 1 species